rnacentral:lncRNA from 10 species
CUUUUAUAUGUUUUCAUUUUACUAAUAGGUGUCCUUUGAUUUCAUAUUGAAGAACUCCCUUUGGCAUUUGUUGGAAGGCAGAUCUAGUGGUGAUGAACUCCCUCAACUUUGUCUUGGAAAGCCUUUAUCGUACUUUCAUAUCUGCAGGUCAGCUUUGCCAAGCAAAAUAUUCUUGGUUGAGAGGUUUUUUUUAUUUCAGAACUUUGACUAUAGUAUCCUUCUCCCCCAUUUUUUGCAAGGUUUCUGCUGAGAAAUCUGUUGAUAGCCUCAGGGAGUUUCCCUUGUAGGUGACAAACCUCUUUUCUCUUGCUGCUUUCAAAAUUAUAUUUUUAUGUUUGCUUUUGUCAGUGUGAUUAUAAUAUGUCUCCCUGUAGCUUCCUUUGAGUUGAACCUGUAUGAAGAUCUUUGAGUUUAAUGAAUCUGGAUGUUCAUAUCUCUCUCCAGAUCUGGGGAGUUUUCUGGGGAGUUUUCAGCUAUUGUUUUCUUAAAUAUUCAUACCUAUUACAAUAAAAGCACUCAUGCCACACCUCUUCUUUACUCUUACAGGGAAUUCUUAAGAUUGUAUUCUCUCAGUUCUGCAAAGCCAGGCCAGGUGCUGAGAACCUCCUGUUUGUCUUCUCCGGGAGCAGUUCCCUAAAAUACUCAAGAUUCUGUGCCUUCUUCCAAUUCUGCAGAGUUGAGCCAGCUGCCA